ACAUAUUGCCCAUCUGUCAGUGAACUUUCAUGUUUACCUAUAACGCUCUAGGUAUCCUCCUGCUUCUAAUGUUGACAUUCCCAGAAGCCACUACCAAUGCUGGGACGUCAACAAAAGCACAUGGUUAGUUUAGGCAAUAAAAGCAUGUGGUUAGGUUAAGACAACAAAAGCACAUGGUUUAGGCAAUAAGAGCAUGUGGUUAGGUUAAGACAACAAAAGCACAUGGUUAGUUUAGGCAAUAAAAGCAUGUGGUUAGGUUAAGACAACAAAAGCACAUGGUUUAGGCAAUAAGAGCAUGUGGUUAGGUUAAGACAACAAAAGCACAUGGUUAGUUUAGGCAAUAAAAGCACAUGGUUAGGUUAAGACAACAAAAGCACAUGGUGAGGUUUAGGCAACAAAAGCACAUGGUUGGGUUUAGGCAAUAAAAGCAUGUGGAUAGGUUUAGGCAAUAAAAAGCACGUGGUGAGGUUAGGGCAAUAAAAGCAUGUGGUUGGGUUAAGACAACAAAAGCACAUGGUAAGGUUUAGGAAACAAAAGCACAUGGUUGGGUUUAGGCAAUAAAAGCAUGUGGUUAGUUUUAGGCAAAAAAAAGCAUGUGGUUAGUUUUAGGCAAAAAAAAGCAUGUGGUGAAGGUUAGGGCAGCAAAAGCAUGCAGUUAGGUUUGGGCAACAAAAGCACAUGGUUAGUUUAGGCAAAAAAAGCAUGUGGUUAGAUUAAGACAACAAAAGCACAUGGUAAGGUUUAGGCAAUAAAAGCAUGUGGUUAGGUUUAGGCAAUAAAAGCAUGUGGUUAGGUUUCGGCAAUAAAAGCGUGUGGUUAUGUUUAGACAACAAAAGCAUGUGGUUAGGUUUAGGCAAAAAAGCAUGUGGUGAGGGUUAGGGCAGCAAAAGCACAUGGUAAGGUUGAGGCAAUAAAAGCACAUGGUAAGGUUUAGGCAAAAAAAGCAUGUGGUUAGGUUAAGACAACAAAAGCACAUGGGAAGGUUUGGGCAAUAAAAGCACGUGGUUAGGUUUAGGCAAUAAAAGCAUGUGGUUAGGUUAAGACAACAAAAGCACAUGGGAAGGUUUAGGCAAUAAAAGCACGUGGUUAGGUUUAGGCAAUAAAAGCAUGUGGUUAGGUUUAGGCAGUAAAAACAUGUGGUUAGGUUAAGACAACAAAAGCACAUGGUUAGUUUAGGCAAUAAAAGCAUGUGGUGAGGUUGAGGCAGUAAAAACAUGUGGUUAGGUUAAGACAACAAAAGCACAUGGUUGGGUUUAGGCAAUAAAAGCAUGUGGUUAGGUUUAGGCAAAAAAAGCAUGUGGUGAGGGUUAGGGCAGCAAAAGCAUGUGGUUAGGUUAAGACAACAAAAGCACAUGGUGAGGUUUAGGCAAAAAAAGCAUGUGGUGAGGGUUGGGGCAGAAAAAGCAUGUGGUUAGGUUUGGAUAACAAAAGCACAUAGUUAGUUCAGGCAAAAAAAAGCACGUGGUUAGGUUAAGACAACAAAUGCAAUUGGUAACGUUUAGGCGAUAAAAGCACGUGGUUAGGUUUAGGCAAUAAAAGCAUGUGGUUAGGUUAAGAUAACAAAAGCACAUGGUAAGGUUUAGGCGAUAAAAGCACAUGGUUAGGUUUAGGUAAUAAAAGCAUGUGGUUAGGUUUAGGCAAAAAAAGCAUGUGGUGAGGGUUAUGGCAGCAAAAGCAUGCGUUUUGGUUUGGGCAACAAAAGCACAUGGUUAGUUUAGUCAAUAAAAGCAUGUAGUUAGCUUAAGACAACAAAGCACAUGGUAAGGUUUAGGCAAUAAAAGCACAUGGUUAGGUUUAGGUAAUAAAAGCAUGUGGUUACUUUAGGCAAAAAAAAGCAUGUGGUGAGGGUUAGGGCAGCAAAAGCAUGUGGUUAGGUUAAGACAACAAAAGCACAUGGUGAGGUUUAGGCAAAAAAAGCAUGUGGUGAGGGUUGGGGCAGAAAAAGCAUGUGGUUAGGUUUGGAUAACAAAAGCACAUAGUUAGUUCAGGCAAAAAAAAGCACGUGGUUAGGUUAAGACAACAAAUGCAAUUGGUAACGUUUAGGCGAUAAAAGCACGUGGUUAGGUUUAGGCAAUAAAAGCAUGUGGUUAGGUUAAGAUAACAAAAGCACAUGGUAAGGUUUAGGCGAUAAAAGCACAUGGUUAGGUUUAGGUAAUAAAAGCAUGUGGUUAGGUUUAGGCAAAAAAAGCAUGUGGUGAGGGUUAUGGCAGCAAAAGCAUGCGUUUUGGUUUGGGCAACAAAAGCACAUGGUUAGUUUAGUCAAUAAAAGCAUGUAGUUAGCUUAAGACAACAAAGGACAUGGCAAGGUUUAGGCAAUAAAAGCACAUGGUUAGGUUUAGGUAAUAAAAGCAUGUGGUUACUUUAGGCAAAAAAAGCAUGUGGUGAAGGUUAGGGCAGCAAAAGCAUGUAGUUAAGUUAGGACAACAAAAGCACAUGGUUUAGGCAAAAAAAAGCACGUGGUUAGGUUUAGGCAAUAAAAGUAUGUGGUGAGGUUAGGGCAAUAAAAGCAUGUGGUUAGGUUCAGACAACAACAGCACAUGGUUAGUUUAGGCAACAACAGCACAUGGUUGGGUUUAGGUAAUAAAAGCAUGUGGUUAGGUUUAGGCUAAAAAGCAUGUGGUGAGGGUUAGGGCAGCAAAAGCAUGUGUUUAGGUUUGGGCACCAAAAGCACAUGGUUAGUUUAGGCAAUAAAAGCAUGUGGUUAGGUUAAGACAACAAAAGCACAUGGUAAGGUUUAGUUAAUAAAAGGACAUGGUUAGGUUCAGGUGAUAAAAGCAUGUGGUUAGGUUUAGGAAAAAAAAGCAUGUGGUGAGGGUUAUAGCAGCAAAAGCAUGUGUUUUGGUUUGGGCAACAAAAGCACAUGGUUAGUUAAGUCAAUAAAAGCAUGUGCUUAGGUUAAGACAACAAAAGCACAUGGUAAGGUUUAGGCAAUAAAAGCAUGUGGUUAGUUUUAGGCAAUAAAAGCAUGUGGUGAGGUUAGGGCAAGAAAAGCAUGUGGUUAGGUUAAGACAACAAAAGCACAUGCUAAGGUUUAGGCAAUAAAAGCAUGUGGUUAGUUUUAGGCAAUAAAAGCAUGUGGUGAGGUUAGGGCAAUAAAAACAUGUGGUUAGGUUAAGACAACCAAAGCACAUGGUAAGGUUUAGGCAAUACAAGCAUGUGGUUAGUUUUAGGCAAUAAAAGCAUGUGGUGAGGUUAAGACAACAAAAGCACAUGGUUGGGUUUAGGCAAUAAAAGCAUGUGGUGAGGUUAGGGCAAUAAAAGCAUGUGGUUAGGUUAAGACAACAAAAGCACAUGGUUGGGUUUAGGCAAUAAAAGCAUGUGGUGAGGUUAGGGCAAUAAAAGCAUGUGGUUAGGUUAAGACAACAAAAGCACAUGGUUGGGUUUAGGCAAUAAAAGCAUGUGGUGAGGUUAGGGCAAUAAAAGCAUGUGGUUAGGUUCCGUCAAAAAAAGUAUGUGGUUAGGGUUAGGGCAGAAAAGCAUGUGGUUAGGUUUUGGCAACAAAAGCACAUGGUUAGUUUAGGCAAUAAAAGCAUGUAGUUAGGUUUGGGCAAAUGCCAAUGGUUGAUUUAGGCAAUAAAAACAUGUGGUUAGAUUUGGGCAAUGAAAACACAUGGUUACUUUAGGUAAUAAAAGCAUGUGGUUAGGUUAAGACAACAAAAGCACAUGGUUAAUUUAGGCAACAAAAGCACAUGGUUGGGUUUAGGCAAUAAAAGCAUGUGGUUAGGUUUAGGCAAAAAAAAGUAUGUGGUGAGGUUAGGGCAAUAAAAGCAUGUGGUUAGUUUAGGUAGUAAAAGCAUGUGGUUAGGUUAAGACAACAAAAGCACAUGGUAAGGUUUAGGCAAUACAAGCAUGUGGUUAGUUUUAAGCAAUAAAAGCAUGUGGUGAGGUUAGGCAAUAAAAGCAUGUGGUUAGGUUAAGACAACAAAAGCACAUGGUUGGGUUUAGGCAAUAAAAGCAUGUGGUGAGGUUAGGGCAAUAAAAGCAUGUGGUUAGGUUAAGACAACAAAAACACAUGGCUGGGUUUAGGCAAUAAAAGCAUGUGGUUAGGUUCCGUCAAAAAAAGUAUGUGGUGAGGGUUAGGGCAGAAAAGCAUGUGGUUAGGUUUUGGCAACAAAAGCACAUGGUUAGUUUAGGCAAUAAAAGCAUGUAGUUAGGUUUGGGCAACAAAAGCAAAUGGUUAAUUUAGGCAAUAAAAACAUGUGGUUAGGUUUGGGCAAUGAAAACACAUGGUUACUUUAGGUAAUAAAAGCAUGUGGUUAGGUUAAGACAACAAAAGCACAUGGUUAAUUUAGGCAACAAAAGCACAUGGUUGGGUUUAGGCAAUAAAAGCAUGUGGUUAGGUUUAGGCAAAAAAAAGUAUGUGGUGAGGUUAGGGCAAUAAAAGCAUGUGGUUAGUUUAGGCAGUAAAAGCAUGUGGUUAGGUUAAGACAACAAAAGCACAUGGGUGGGUUUAGGCAAUAAAAGCAUAUGGUUGGGUUUAGGCAAAAAAGCAUGUAGUGAGGUUAGGGCAACAAAAGCACAUGGUUGGGUUUUGGCAUCAAAAGUACAUUCUUAGGUUUCCACAACAAAAGCACGUGCUUAGGUUUAGAAAAAAUAUCAUGGUUUGGCCUUACAUUCACACGGGGUGAACACCAGGCUUCCCGGGGUUUGCUGGACGCAUCCACCAUCUGUUUCUAUUAGUGGCAUAAGGUAGUUACAAUGGGCCCCAGUGCACGCUAUUAUGAGGGGCCCUAUUAUGCCCUAGUUACAAGUUAUGAAAUACACACACAGACACACACACACACACACACACACACACACACACACACACACAGAGAGUUUUAGGGUGUAUAUAUAUUUUAGCAACAGUGUGUCUUACUGCCGCUUUAACGUUACAUCCACUUGCACAUACUUGAUGUUGGACACAUUAACAUACAUAUUAACAUACAUAUACAUAUACACACAGUAAUCAUCAUUACAUAUCUGUACAAGACAAAUCUACAAAAGAAAAUAGGAAAUUAUUAGUUUAACUUGAUAGUUUUUUAUUGGUAAAUUAUAGUUUCUUAAAUAGUUUAUGGAGAAUAAGUUUAUAAUUUGUUAUAGAUUGACACUGUUUUACAAAACCAGAAAACCAUGAAGGAGAUGGAUUUGCCUUAUUUAGGGCAUGUAUGGAAAAUAGCACCAUUUUUGUUCAAAUGUGAGUUCUCUGAACACGGGCGUAUUUCCAGGUGGCAGUCGGGCCCCUCCACCCCAAGUGCAACUGCACUGCCUGCACUGUCUAUA